GCAUUUUUAGCUCAGUGGAUAGAGCAACGGUCUUCUAAAUCGUGAGUCAUAGGUUCAAAUCCUAUAAGAUGUA
rnacentral:tRNA from 1 species